GAUGAACGCUGGCGGCGUGCCUAAUACAUGCAAGUCGAGCGAACGGACGAGAAGCUUGCUUCUCUGAUGUUAACGGCGGACGGGUGAGUAACACGUGGAGAACCUACCUAUAAGACUGGGAUAACUUCGGGAAACCGGAGCUAAUACCGGAUAAUAUUUUGAACCGCAUGGUUCAAAAGUAAAAGACGGUCUUGCUGUCACUUAUAGAUGGAUCCGCGCUGCAUUAGCUAGUUGGUAAGGUAACGGCUUACCAAGGCAACGAUGCAUAGCCGACCUGAGAGGGUGAUCGGCCACAUUGGAACUGAGACACGGUCCAGACUCCUACGGGAGGCAGCAGUAGGGAAUCUUCCGCAAUGGGCGAAAGCCUGACGGAGCAACGCCGCGUGAGUGAUGAGGGUCUUCGGAUCGUAAAACUCUGUUAUUGGGGAGGAACAUAUGUGUAAGUAACUGUGCACAUCUUGACGGUACCUAAUCAGAAAGCCACGGCUAACUACGUG
rnacentral:rRNA from 1 species